rnacentral:rRNA from 1 species
UCUAAUAGUGCAAAUAAAUUUUUUUGGUUAGUGAUUAAUAAUUAAUAAAUCUAAGAUUAAUAAUUUUUAGGUGAAAUUUAAAUUAUUGAGAAUAUUAUGUUUAUGAGGUCAAUAAAUUAAUUUUUAGACUAGGAUUAGAUACCCUAUUAUUAUAACUUAAAUUUUAAAUCUAUAUUAAUAAUAGUUUAGAUCUUUAAAAUAAAAAAAUUUGGCGGUGUUUUAAUCUAUUCAGAGGAACCUGUUCUUUAAUUGAAAAUCCACGUUUAAAAUUACUUAAAUUUAAUUUUCAUAUCGUUGUUUAAAAUAUUUUUAUAAAAAAUAUUUUUAGUUUUAAAAAAGAUUACAAUUUAGAUCAAGGUGAAGUUUAUAUUUAAGUUGAAAUGGGUUACAAUAAAUUUAUUUUUGAAUAUUUAUUAUAAAAAUUUAUUGAAAUUGGAUUUGAUAGUAAUUUUAAAUUUAUUUUUAAGAUGAUUAAGCUCUAAAAU